GUCCGCGUAGCUCAGCAGGAUAGAGCACAGGAUUCCUAGAAUCCUGGGGCCGUGGGUUCGAAUCCCGCCGCGGACACCA
rnacentral:tRNA from 1 species